UACGGAGGAUCCUAGUGUUAUCCGGAUUUAUUGGGUUUAAAGGGAGCGUAGGCGGGAGGUCAAGUCAGCUGUGAAAUGUAUCUGCUUAACGGGUACACUGCAGUUGAAACUGGUUUUCUUGAGUGCGUAAGAGGCAGGCGGAAUUCGUUGUGUAGCGGUGAAAUGCUUAGAUUUGACGAGGAACUCCUAUUGCGAAGGCAGCUUGCUGGGUCGUUACUGACGCUGAUGCUCGAAGGUGCGGGGAUCAAACAGGAUUAGAUACCCUGGUA
rnacentral:rRNA from 1 species